GAAAAGUCUGAUGUUUCUAUUACUGAUCUUUUCUGAGCACAUACAGGAGAGAUCAUUUUCAAGCUUCGGGGAAAAGAAGGUGCAGUGUCCAGCAUCUUGCAGAGAUCUUCCGAAGCCAAUAAGAGGGAUCUGACAGACGUAAGAAACAUAAACAACUGCAGGGAUACACAGCGGGUAUCUGAAGUACACAAAAGCGGCUGCUGAAGAAACAGCUUCGGAGUCAGAGUGAGAGAACCAAGGGCAACAAGCAACCUCCGGCAGAGACAGAGAGAGAGAGAGACGGAUAACCGUGCUCAGAUAUCCAAGGGAGCUUCUGUAAGAGACAAAAACACCAGCUUGGCUCACCUCAGCUUUAUUUUCACCUCCAGACCCCCCAGAAACAUUGUAAAAUAAAGAAGACAUGUGGUGUUCAAGCAACGCAGCCAGUGCCCAGGACAUAGUCUGGCCAAGAUGAAAACACAUUAAGGAGAAGAGGAAGAGAAGACUCUGGAGAGAGAAAUGUUUAACAAGAACACUCUUACACAGCAAACUCAUGAAA